rnacentral:lncRNA from 1 species
UGGUGCUUAAGGUCUUGAAACUUACGAAGCAGAUCUCAAGACAAUUCCACUUAGGUCUCAUGACAAGUGGCCUUUGUCUCAAGACAAGGGCACAUCGAAGCUAAAAUAGUUUUGUCCUAUUCCAGGUCUGGAGAUAAUUUUUGUCUCGAAAGAACCAAACAUCGAAGCUAAAAUAAGAAAACAAGAGAGGUUUCUCUCGAGAUUAGUCUCGAGACUUGAAAGGUUUUAUCUCAAGACAUAGACCCUAUGGUCUCUGACCGCCUCCGGGCGUACUAACGUCCGGAGUGUAAAUACUACAAUUAAAUAUAUGAAAUUGAGGCAGUGUCCACAAGUAUACAGGUCAGGUUGUAAUAUACUUUACAACAAAAUUGGUAAGUACUCCGAGGAUCGUAUCCAAGAAAGGUGAGUACUAAAUUAAUAUUAAUCUAAACAUAAAUAAAAAUAAUUAUUACUUUAGAUAAAUUAUAUUACGAUAAAACAUAAAGUGGAAAAUAGUUUUGGGUUUUAUACUAAAAUAAAUAAUCAUGCAAAAUAAAGUGAACACAGAAAACUAAGAUGUAAUUCAACCAAAUCUAAGCAUGGGUGAUUAGUUCGCUUCGGUGGUAAUAAUUAAUUCCUAUUUUAGGUCUCUACUCAAUCAACUAGUCAUUACCCUAGAAGAAUCUCUUGAUCUCCUACUAAGGUAACAAGUCGGGAAGAACUACUUAUCUCUUGACCUCACAGUCCAAACUAGAUGGGGAUAAGGGUUCACAGAUAAGCAAUAUCAAUUUUGGGUUAAUUUCCACCUAAAUGACUUCUUAAGGUUGUCAGGCCUAGUGUUUAAGUUUUUCCUAUCCCAAAUAGUUGAUCCGCUAAGAAAACCCUACAUAGAACUUAAUUAAUCACACUUCCACUCGCUAAUCCCCUAUAAGAGGAUUAGUUCCUCAUGGAUUUCAUAAACAAUGUAAAGUUGAUAAAAUAAAUAAGCAUUAUGAACGAAUUAAGAAGAAAAGUUUAAGAAGAAAUUAUGAUUGUAUUGAAUAUUUGAAGUGCAGAUUCUAUAGAGUUUGUGUUGAAUCUACAAAUCAGCUCUUCUGAUUAACACGAAUGAAAAUAACUGGAAAUAAAUAGUAAGUCUAAAAAGAACUAGAAACUGAAAACUAAACUAAAAAAAAAAUUCUAAGUUACAAAAGCGGUCCUUUCUCAAGUGUCUUAUAAGUCUAUUUAUAGUGUUAGGGUUGGUCGUCGUCCUUAGACCUAGAUCAAUUGAUGUUUUUACGUUAAUUUCCAUUGUGCAAACCAAAACGCCCUCAGCUAGUAAUUUCUUCCCUUGUAGGGCCAGUGUCAUGACAUCUAGUACCUGGGUCGCGACAUUGAAUGCAGUUUGCUUGGCUCAAGUUUAGAUUCAGGGGUAUGUCGCGACACCAAAGGCAGUUUUGGAAUUUUGGCGCUCUAUUCACGAUGUUGUGACAUUGAACUUCCGUUUAGCAACAUGGCAACUAGCCUCGAGCUCUCAUACCUUUGGAUGGUGUCUUGCACACUCACUAAGUACGCUAAACCCUCCGUCUCGAGACAUGAAGAUUACUGGCUCGAGACACUAUGUUGAAAUUUGAUAAAAAAAGUUGGACUCGAAUCCCAACCACGUUAUAACCUCCAUACAUCUUCUGAAUACAUAGCAUGGGAUUAAUGUUCAUGCAUUGAAUUAAUUUGUGUGUAUACACUGAUAAAUUAUUUAAUUGAAUGUCAUGUUGCUUGUCAUUCGUGAUUGAGUCAGAUUGAGUUGCUUUGACAACGUAAUGUGAUGCCACACAUUUGGAUUUGACGACGGGGCUGGGUGUGGGGUGUCACACAAUGUGUAUGUCUUUCAUUGGGUACUUUGCAUUUCUUUCAUAUUUGCUUGCUCGUUUCGCCUCCAUUUGUGUUUGAUCAUGCUUUUCAAGCUCGAAUUAACCUCAAUAAAAGUCAUAAACUCAUUUUAAAAUCAUCCAAUGCUAAAAAAAAGAAGGUAAAAACUAGUAAAAAUGCAUAAAAGUAAAUACAAUCAACUCUCUCAAUAAUAGUAACCCUCUAUAAUAACAUUUUGUUAUAACAACAAUAUUUAUUCUAGAACCAAAGUUAUUAUAUUUUAUUUUUACAUUAUAUAACCGCUUUCAUAGUAAUAGCCAUAAAGUAUGAAAUACAUUAUUUAUUAAAUUAAUUAUUUAUAAUAGUUUUUUUCUUAAAUUUUAGUAAAAUUAAUUUUAAUCUUAAGUGAAUUAAAAUUAAAAUAUUUAUUAAUCGUAUUUUAUUAAAUAAAAAUAAUAAAUAAUGAAUAAAAUUAAAUUUAUAAAUUUUAUUAAAUUACAGUCUAAGUUUUAUUAAUUUGAAAUUUUAAAAGUUUCAGAUAUGAUGUAAAGGUUAAAAGUGCUAUAGGUGUAUCAUACGUUUUUACAAGCUUAUAAUAACCACUUCUUUAGAACAUUAAAAAUUUUGACAAAUAAAUGAAAUGUUAUAUAGAAGAUUAUCUGCAUGAUGCAAAAUUAGGUAAAUGUACUAUACUUCACUCCGAAAUCAGAAAUUUACUAAAAUCAAAGUGAAAAGAGCAAUUACAUCUUGGAUUAUUCACUGCAAUGCAUUGUGGUAUUUGCGAAGUUAUUAUCAUCUUUACUGGUAUAAGUUAAUUGAGUACCAAACACCCACUAGCAUACUGCUGAAAUUUACAGUUCCUAAUGAAAUCUGUCAAUGGUGAAUUAUGGUGAGGCUCAAUAAGCAUCUCAUACUCUUUCCACCAUUGCAUAAAACUGCUACCUUUCAAGAAAAUUUCAGAAGAAACUGCAUAUUUCUUGAUUUGUUCCAUAACAUAAACCUCAAAUUCCAUCAGUUUCUGCCUCAAACACACCCUCUCUGAGAUCAUACCAACAUCAGCUGUCUUCAAUGAUUUGCACCAUAGCCGGGCUUCUUCGACAUGAGCCCAAAAGCAAGAAUCAUCUGUUAGAAUAACAUCCACAUUUUGUUUCUUGGUAUCGAUCUGAAAUCUGCUUUGUUUCUCGUCUUCUUCAAGCCAUUGCUCUAACUUGAUAUAAUGAUGUGAUCUGCCAUUAGUCACAUAGUUGCUUCCAUCAUCUCUGUAGUAGUCAGCUAUGUCUAGUGGCUCGACCAUUCUCCGAUAGGUCGUACCAGCAUACAACCACCGUGAUCGGAGGUAAACCAGUUGUUUCUGAGGUUUCCUCUCGUUUUGUGCAACGACUUCCUUCCAGUAGUUUGUGAGGAACUUCUUGUGCUUGAUGACAUCGCGAUCCCGCCGACUGAGCUGCUUCUUGUAACAAUCAUAGUAACCUGUUUCAUUAGCCUUAGCAACCUUCUUAUACCAUUCUAGUUCAGCCAUUUUUAUUUUUAUGACAUUUAAUUUCUUUGCAGGGUCAAAUGCUUUUCCCUUGUUGAACAUACAUAUCUCUUCCAAUUCCUCCAGUUUCUUGAUCAACAGCUACUCGAAUUCAAUGCAAGUUCAGAUCAUAGACAGUAUGUUACUCGGACUGGCGUAUACGUAAUAUAUAAAGAUAUGCAUGAAGAUCGAAACAAGUUUGAAUCUACCUGUUCAUUUCUGAUUCUAAUUGCUUCUGUUUGCAAAGUUGUUCCAGCUCGAAGUGAAUUCAGAAUUGGUUCAUUAACCUGUGAGAUACCUUUCCGGACUAUCAUCGACUCGAGUUGUUCAAUAAUCCUGCUGUAAACAUUAACUGUCCAUUCUUCAUUACCAGCAUCUUCCGUUUCUACUGCCAUUAGUAGCUCAGAGACAGCUUCAGGGUUCUCAGACCAAGUACAUCCAUCUUCACAACAUAAAAGAAAGGUACCAAAAGGCUUAUAAUCAUCAGAUUUUGAAUCUAAAUCCAUGGAGUUAAGAUCAUGGGGAGCAAUGAAAAGUCUUGGAAUGGAAUCUUUGCUUGUUGCAGCAACAUGGAGGAAACAAGAAUUCCAUGCAGGACGUUGUGAAAUGGCUUGUUGAAACCCUUUAUCACCGACUAGCGGUGAGCCGAACGUGAGACAAAGGGGUCGUUUAGCCAACGAUAUAUCGAGGCUUUCAAGCAGCCAUAAGGUGAAGAGUGAAGCAACUGAUCCUCCUAAAGAAUGUCCGGUUACAAUUAAGCUAUUGGAAUUCCUUCCACACUGCAUCAAUUAGAGGUAGUAACUUGGAAAUAAUUAAAGCCUAAAAUAGAUGGCAAAACUUUGAUUUAUGAUCAUGUAGUUCCUCUACAACAGAUUAAUAUUCACAGUCAACCAUACCAUAUCUAUGGUCAGGUUGUCAAAUGCAAGACUUAUAAAAUUGAACUUAUAACCAGUAAAAGUACCAUAAAGAACCUCGUAUUAGGGGUCAGAUUGCAUUUUGGUCCCUCUAUUAAAAAAAUGAGCGAAUUAGUCCAUAUACAUUAGAUCAAACCGUAAAUAGUAAUUCUAUUAAAAAUUUCAUCUAUUUUUACUGUUAAAAUUUGGUCCAGCAGCAAUGUCAGUUUUUAACAGUAAAUGGAUGAAGUAUUUAACAAAAAUGACUGGUCUGUUUUUGUAUCUAAGUAUAGGAAUUAAUUUACCCAUGUUUGAGUAAAAAGAGAGAAAAUGCAAUCUAACAUUUCCAUAAUAUUUUUGCAACUUAUAACAUACUAGCUAGAUUGACUCUUAGAAUUUUCUUGAAGCACAUGGAUACGGAGAUAUGGCCUUUAAGCGGAAAAUUUAGAAAAAUAUAACCAAUUUAAAAAGGACUAUAUAGAGCAAGAAUUAAGGAAUUAGAAAGACACUAACCUCAGCUUUCAAUUGCAAGAGCUCAUGAAAGUGAUCAGCAAAGAGAGCAAUUGCAGCUUUAUGAAUAGAGAAAGAGUUGCCAUUGUUGCAGAGGAAUUCAAAGACUGGAAAACUCUCCUUAAAAGCUGUAGAAGAAACCAGUUGUUUUGAAUCUUGAAGAUGAGAUUUGGUACAAAUAGGAGACGUGGUGAAAACAAGGAUGUUAAUAUUAGCUUGUUGAUGAGCUUUCCAUUUUAUUGAUAACCCCAAAUUUUGGAGCUCAUCUGGAUUGAAUCCACCAUAACAGUCUAAGAUUUUAGCCCAUGAAAGUUUGAGCAACCCAGAGCUGACCACGAAAUUAGCAACCUCUAAUCCACUGCAGAAUCUGUAGUUUCAGAACACAAAAUAAAGUUAAACAAUCCAUCAAAAACACGAGGGAAAAAAAGGAAUGAAAAUUUACUAACAAUUGGUUCAUCUGGCUGGCCAUUGACUUGAUCCUUGGUUUGUAUAAUGGGAAGCGAGACCUUUAUUUGAGUGAGUAAAUAAAAUAAUCAUAUUAUAUUAACUAAAGUCUAUGGGUCUUGUCCUUUUGGGGGUUUUGGUGGUCAAAGUUGAGCAGCUUUCUGGAUGUUAAGUCGGGGAAAAUGGCAAUGUCCCCAUCAAUGAAAAUGCUACGAAAUGAGUGUUUUUCCAUUCUAAUUUCUUUUGAGGGUCGUAGUUUUGAUCCCAACACUUUUUCCUAUAUGCACAAAUAAGUUUCAGUUUGAUGUGCUCUAUGGUCUUCCAGUUCCAGUUUAGAAUACAAAAUUGGCAUCUAUUUUUAUUAUUAAAAAUUACUUUUUGUCCAACAAAAUACAACUCAACUAAAUCUUUUUAAUAUUUUUUUCACGUUUCCCCAUAUGAGCACUUUCACGCGGAAAUAACUGUUUAAUGAUACAAAUUCAAAUUUCAUAAUUUAUAAUUAUAAUUAAUGUACUUUUUACUGGUUCCACUAUUACCUGUUCUAACAUACUAAACGGAUAUUGGUUCGAAAGUCUUUAAUUUUAUGCUCAAUAUCAAAUUAUAUUUUGUCAUUUUACUCGAAAAGAUUAAUGUUAAAAACUUCAUCAAUUUGUACCAUUAAAAACUUACAUGACUAAUUAAAUACCAAAACAAUACCACCUGACACAUAAAAGACUAAUUUUUAACAACAAAAAUAGAUGAAACCAACCCCAUAAUGCUGUUACCUACCUAAAUCCUUUCACAUAGAAGUCAACCUGAUAAAAGUUGGCCAUGGUAGUUUACACUCUAUGGGCACCAGUCAAUACUAAACCCUGUCCAUCAAUUCCGACUUAUAUUAAUAUAUUCCAACCUAUAUCUUAAUUAAUAAUUUUAUAUUAUAUGUAUGUAAUUGAAAUAUACUUGCAUCUAUAUGAAAUGUACCCUAUUAAAAAACUAAAAUUUUGACUCUCUCAAAAUAAAUUUAAAAAUAUCAAUAAACUCAAAUUGGCAGCCGCCGAAAACAAAGGAAAAAGUCUCAAGGUAAACGGCUUCACUAUCACAAGCAAACUUCAAUUUCAAAAAAAAAAAAAAAAGAUUCAAUACCAAUGAAUGGGAAGAACUUGGAAAAUCCCAUGAAUCUUGUUUUCUCAAAGCUAACAGCAAGCAUAUUGUGAAAUGGAAGAAACAAAAUUUUCAUCCAUGGCUGAUGAACCAAAGGCCUCGAAAGCCAUAGAAUCUGAGAAACUAAAUGCUUUUACCUUGCAAAUAAAUUUGGCUACCUAAUUAUAAUGCUAAUGAGUUCUGGUUUCUCGUGAAUCACAUUACUUUUCGGGAAUCUCGACUCCCUGAUCUGAUUUCGAUGUCUUUCGUGUAUAUAUUUGUGAGAGCAAAAAGUAGCAGCACAAACACAACUUGGGCACUCAUGAUUCCGAAAUGGCUAAUGCUAUUACCAAUUUCCAUCCAGCUCCCCGUGUUCUUCACCUGUUAAAAACCCGAUUACCAAACCAGUGAGGCCCUCAGGAAAUAACUAUAACCACAGGUGAUUUCACAUGAUUUCCUUACUUUCAAGCAAAGCAAGGUUCAAAAAUGGCUAAAAUAUCAAUCAAUAGGAUCGGCUGCGCCGAACUUUAUUUCUGAAAAAGUUUGAUACCAGAAAGAAGAAGUGGACCGUCAUCACGUCUGAACAAAGAAUAACGAGGAAGUAGCAUCCUAUCCUUGGAACUUCGAGUAGUUUGGUUAUUGCACUGAAUGCACAUCUGUGUGUCUCAAAGAACAAACAGAACCAUGUUUAUAGUUAACUACUAUAUUCCAGCAUAUAUCGAUACGAACUUGCAUUCUUUACUAGUGACAUUGUUAUAUAAGCUUAACUUAAAAUGGGAAACCGAGACUAAAUAUGUCACCUUAACUGAUGAUCAUCUUUAUAGCAGAUUAAAGGCGAUUCACUCAUUCGGUGUUUCAGGGAGUUUUGAAACCACGAUGAAGUUUCUAAAGCUAAGGUGCAAUAGUUAAUGAAACUUCAUAAAAAUGUGAUUGAAUGUAUUAAUAGCCCAUAGAUGCAAAAGUCACAUAGCAUCAUGGCUAAAAACCGAUGGUCAAGCCAGUUUUGUUGAAGCAUCAUUGAUCAUUCUAACAUUUCUUUUAAAAUCGAAAAACUUACAUAACAAGCAGGAAUGGUAUGAAUAACUUGAAGAUGAGGAGUCCUGCCAUCAGAAAGGGCUGCAAUUGGAAGUAAUUCAGUUUGGCUUACAAGAAGAAACAGUAAAAGAUAUAUAGGUAGUUUAACCGUUACUUACACUAAAAACAGUGAUGAACCUGUAGACUGAUGAAAUCUCGAAACUAGCUAUACUUGCGAAAUUUCCCGUCCCAAAGAAGGCCACGUUAAAUAAGACCAUCUACCAAAGACAGUUCAUCAGCACUAUGUAAAUUACAAACUGUAAAAUCCUUUAAACUAAGCAAAUCUAUGUUGCUCCGACUCUUUAUUUUUCUUUAAGUACCCAUGUUUAUGACUUGUGUCUGAUAUAUGGGUACAGGGACAACCUCUAAGACCCUAUAUAUAUAUAUAUAUAAUAACUAUAAAAAACUUGACCAUACCCAUGUCGAACACAUAUCAUAGUCAACACUCACACCCAAGUAUGAGUAACAUAAACUGCCUAUAGCAAUCUGCUCCUUAAAAGAAAUAACAAUAAAACAGAUAGAGAAAGAUGACUUACAAAGGUUAAAGGUAUUCUCAUAUCCGACAGCUGCAAAUAUCGAGUAUCAUUUUCAAGGAAGGCAUGUUCCCCCAAGUUCUUUCCAGAAGCAGAAGAUUUGUUCACCUUAUGCACGUAGAGAAGCGAGUUUUCAAAUAGUAUCCAUGCAAUUAGCACAAGACCAAGCGCACCAUAGAAGACAGCUUCAUAUCUGCACGGGUUUGAAAACAAAGGGCAAUAAAUCAUAACAUGCCUCAAUUGAGCAUUAUGAUGACAUAAGUUUAAGAUGAGAUCUACCCAAUAGAUAAUAGAAGGAACGGUGGUGCAAAACCAAGAAAUAUAGAAUUGAGCCUGGACAAGAGGCCAUUUUCUGAAAACAAUGGGAGAAUCAUCGAGAACCCUGAAAAAAAAAACAAAUAUUUUAGGGACACAAUUGAUGGAAGAUAAUGUAAGCUUUUACUAAUGCAUGAUUCAAUGUAAUUUGUGUCGUUAUGACUUAGAGUCAGCAGUUUCAACUUGCAAUAUUAUAUAACGAGCAGCCAUUGGCAAGCACAAGAUCUAUGGAAGAGGAGUGAAGCCCACAAUAGACGUAUAUGUGGGUGUAUGUUACUCCGACUCUUUAAUGUUGGAGUACUCAUGUAUGUCCAACACCCAUGUUUGAUGCAUAUCCGGACAUGAGGUACAAGGAUACGACCCUCCCAAUACACACACACACAAAAAAAAAAAAAAAAAAACAUGAAAGAAAAAAUUGAACAUACCGGUGUCGCACAUACCUAUAUCUGACAUUCACACUUGAGUCCCAAGUAACACAUGAAGAUUAUAUAUAUUACAAAAGCCAAGGUUUUUCAUUUUGGGAAUUUAACAAAAAUCAAUUGUUUUCAGUAGCUACAGCCAUUUAAUCAAAUGCCCAUAUACAUCAUAUGCACAAGUUUGACGUGGUAACAACAUUUGACCAAGAAUGAGGUAGCAUUUUGAUGUAUUUCAAACAGAAAUUAAGAAACAUAAAAUUAGCAUCAGAAUGUGAAGAAGAUGGUUUUAAAAGUCUCCAAUUCAGGUUAAGAAACAUAGUUUCUUUUGUACAUCAUAAAGGUUCAAUGCCUUAAGACAGCUUCACUGAAGAGCCUGAAAAAAUAGCGAAAACAGAAGACUAUAAAAGCAUACCAGCAAUGAACCAGUUCAUCAACUGGUGUAUUGUGUGUAGUUCUUGCUUCACUGUUCUGUGAGAAGUAGAUAAAAACACCAUUACCGAUGAUAAUCCAACCAAAAGAGCCUGAUUUCAAGCAGUAAGAAAGCAGUUACUUUCAAUUGUGUUAACAAUAUACACGAGCUUAUCAUUCCAGCAAAAGGUAGAGAGAUAUGUUGCCUACCUGUAAUUGAAAGAGCAUAGGAAACCUGGGUUGUCUCUUUUCAUGAUUACAAAUGCCAAACCAGAAUCUAUUCACACCAGCUUUUAGGUCAAGCCACUUUCCAGUUAAUCCUAUUACAAUAACCAUCACUCCACUUGCAUUUCUGCACACGUUCAUGAGGCACAAGUAUAACCAAUUAAAACAUUAUAGAUGAUAGAAUUAUGUAAAGGGAACUGAUACUAUAAUUUUCCAUCAGUCUAAGGAAUUAAACUUUAUCAACAAACAAUAAUUUUAAGAAACCUUAACUUUUGGGAAUGAUAGAGGUUAGAAUGUGUUUGUAUUUCUAUUGUCGAACCAUUUCACCUAUCUUUAAAUAAAAGGAAAAAUCACGAUAAAGGAGGAACAAGGAAGGCAACUCACACCAACUUAUUAUUAUCAGGAAUUUCAGCAGGCAUUAAAGUAAAUAGAGACAAGAACCAACAAGUGAGACAAACAAAAACUGGAAUUCCAGAUCUCCAGGGAAUUGAUUUGUAAAGAUAUAUAGAAGCUAUGGCUCCGACUAUGAGGAAGCACCAAGUGUAGAGUUUUCUCUCAGUGAAGCUAUGCACCUGUACAAGGUAUAUUAAAACACGGUUUAGAACAUUAAAAUAUCACUUAAAUAAUCACAAAAACAACAGAAUGUUGUACCAGCAUACCAGGAGCUCAAGAAUGAUCACUGAGACCACGCCAAGGGCCAGAAGUUUAAUGACAUAGUCGGAUUCUCUCCCACGUAAGUAUCUCCAAAGUGCUUUUAUAAACUUAUAUUCAUUUAGUAUUUGUGUCCAGAGAAAUAUCGUCAUGGCAAAGUAUGCAUGGUAAAGUGGAGGGGAGCGCUCCAGAAAUAGCAGAACACUGACUACUGCCAUAAACAGACAGCCACAUAGCUGAGCCUGCCAUAUAGGAUGAUAUAUGUGAGAAUGUAGCAUCUAACCGGAAGAAACAAAUAAUUUAUUCCCUAUCCAGAAAAUGCUCAUUUGAUGAAAAAUAAUACAAAAAUGAGCAAGGAAAGCAAACAAACAUGAUAUAAAUAUUGUAAACUAAGCAUAAUUGAAAAAAAAGUUGGUGUCUGCAAAGAAACUAGGAGCACAAUUAAUAGAACCAAGUAGUUCUUGUCAGCUUUGAAAUAUAAGGUAAUUUUUUGAGAAACUAAUUUACCACAAGGCAUUUUGGCUUCAAGCUUCAUAAAACUUAUGAAAAACAUUUCCAUUUGUUUUCUCUUUUUUUUCCUCUGUCGUUAAAAGUAAGUUUAAAAGAGAUUAAGCUUACAUAGACAUUACUUUUCCUGUAUUAGAUUUCUGGCGAACGGCUUCCUCCUUUCUAAAUAUAUCUCCUGGCAAUAAAGUAUAAGCUUGCAGAACAUGAAGAACAAGAAAGACCAUCCAACUGAUAUAUCCAAGAGUAAUCAUGGCCAUCAGCAUCAGCAAAUCAUAAGUUUGAAAAUAAUGAAGUCCUUUCAGUGCCAAGCUUCUUAGAUUUUCUGAUAGCUGCAUGGCAGCUUUAUAGUCUCUAGCACUUAGCAAUUCCUCAAUUUGAUUCAACAUAGAGGAGUAAGACGCAAGUGGCUUGAAAGGCUUGAAAAACAGUGAAUGUGAUUGCUUUAUUUCUAAGUUUGUCAAGGAAAAGAGUUACAGAAUGCCAAUCCAUAAUCCAGUAACUCCUUCCACAUUUUAACACAGAAUCAAACAGAAUAUCCAAUAAUUGAAUAAAAAACAUGUAGAUAAGAAGUAAUAAGAUUUCGGUUGGCCAAAAUCAGGUAAAUGUUUAAAAAAGUUACAAAGGGUAUUUCUGAGUGAAAACAUGAAACACAACAUUCUGGUCAACAAAUCUAAGUUCAAACUUCAUGAGGAACAAAACUUAAAGAUAGACAAUGAUCUUAUUUUGUAAUAUAAAAUCUUUUCAAGGAAUUAUGGAAAACAAAUUAAGUACCAUGCUGCAUUGAACUAAAACUAGUCUAUGAAAAGGAUACGUGAUUUGCGCAGAAACUGGUUCAGAAUCUGUUUUGUGUUAGCUAGCACAGCUUCUACUUCUUCUUCCUGAACAUUAAAUAGUGAAUAUUUUUCAUCAGUUUUCUAUGCAUUUAUUGCAAUGAAAACUUGUUUUGCCGCACCGAAAUACCUAAUUAGUUGAUCUCCAUCAGAGUAUAAAAUAACCCAUCCUAAGUUCAUAACAGAUCUCAAAAUAAACAUUCUAAUGAAUAAUAUUCAGACUCACCUCUUUCAUGUCAACAUAACCAAGAGGUAAAUUCCCGACUGAAUUGACUGGACAAGGCAAACCAAGAAGAGUUGACUGCCAAAAAAAGUAAGGAGCAUCAGUUCAGUUGGGGGUUAAACAUGUUUCAAAGACUUUAAACAGGAUUUUUUUUUUAUCAACAUUAAACGACCAUGAGCGGUGCAAUAUCAGCUUGAUUGACAUCAACUCUUUCGAUGCCAUCGAGGUCCCAUUCUUUAGGUGUUGGCUUGUCAUGCAAAUGUUGAUCAAUAAAACGAAGAACAUGAUCCGAGUGAUCUUUUGCAGUGACUGGCCUGGGAUGUUGUACUCCUGCUCCCCAGACAACUAGAGGGGUAUCAGUGUUUGAAGGAUGCCCAUCCCCAUGACUUCCUAGAAAUCAAAAGCUAAUCAUGUCAGAAUCUGUAAUUAGACACGAUCAAAGAAAACAAAUAGAACUAGAGGAAGAAAGAUUUAAGUAGAAAACUAUUUUUGGUCUUGUAAAAAGUUACAUGUUACAAUGGACAAGGCAUGGCCUAGUGGUAGACACACCUUACUACCUUACUUCCAAGGAGAUCUCGAGCAUAGGGGUCUUAUCAAAAGAUUUUCAGUCUUACAACCUAGAGCAAGAUAACAAAAGUAAAUAAGGUGAAGUAUAUAAAAGAGUUCCCCAACCUUUGUCACUCAUUCCAUGAUCAGCUGUGAAGAUAUAUGAUGUCCGAUUGUCCUUGUAGUAAUUCUCAAGAAGAUUAUAAACACGUUCGGCAAUAUGAUCAACAACCUUUACAUUGUUGAGAUAAAUAGAUGAAAAGGGACGAUGUGCAUGACCAUUUGAAUCACAACCAAGUAGAUGCAGAAAUACAACAAGAUUAUCUUGUUCAAGUAACCUUUUCAACUUUGGGUCUUCAUUGGACCUAUUCAGCAGGCUCUGAAAUUGAUCAAAAGACCAUUCAUCCAAAAAGGAUGCAUCUGCAUUUACAUCAAUUGAAAUAAGCAUCGAACAAGAGUGAAAAUCAUAAAGAUGAAAUACAAUCAUUAGUAAGCAUCAUAAUACAAGGAUUUCAAGAAAGCCAAAUAUAUAGAAUGCUGAUACAAUUUAGUUGUAAACCUUGAAAGGUGUCAACAUAUAAAGCAUGUUCAUAUCAAUGUAAUCUAAUUGGAAUAGAAAUAAACAAGGUAUGAUUGGAAGCAAAGAAGCAGUAUCCAAAAUUACUAGCAGAGGUAUUUUCAAUUAAUAGUUCAAAAAAGAACAGUUUGAUGAGAUCCCUCUUUUUGUUUUUUGUUUUUUUCAUUUUAAGCUUCUUUCUUUUCUUUUAGAACGAUUUCAUAAUUUAUAAGAGAAUUUUGCCUUCCACAAAAUUUUAAGCAGACCAGUAGCGAAGUCUUCAAACUCGUGGGGAUAUGUAGCCCAAGUGCUGUGCGGCAAAGCACCACAAAAUAUUGGAACAAUAUCUGGACUACCAUAAGAAAUUGUAUGCCGGCUCCGGUUAAAAACUGAAUCAAAUUCAACUGGAUUAGCUUUCCAUCCUGCAAUCAAAAUGGAAAAGCUUAACAAAGGGAAAAUUUGUUGGUCAUUCCAGCAAGGUGAUGUAAUAAUGCUUAAAACAUUAACCUUUUGUAACUGCACUAGGGUCCUCAUAGAAACCAGCAAUUAUAGCAACAUGUCCAGGCCUUGACUCCGUUGGAGGCCGAGCAUGAGAUACUCCCCAUCGACCUUGAUUCUUAAUCACAUUUCUUAAAAAGGGUGCUCUGAAAUUCCCUUCCAAAUCUGGCUCGAAAAAUUUAUCAGCACGUAAACCAUCCGCUGCAAUGAUAUGGUUUUACCAAAACGUAGCAAUUAGUAAUUACACUAAACAUUAAAAAUGAGUAAUCAUUUCAGGAAAAUGAAAUGUUUCAAACAUUAAACUGUAGAUGCAUCACAAUAAUCAUGAACAGCCCAUCAUUGAGUUCUCCAUUUUUCACAUAAAAAACUUAGCCUUUUAGUACAAAGCUAAAAUAACAAACAUACCCAAAAGGUUCUUUGUUUCGAUUUAGCUGAAUUGCCAGAUUUGCAUCAAACUCAACAAGCCAUUUCUCACUAUCAAUCCUAUUCAACAAAAUCAAGGGGGGUUGAACCCUAAAAAGAGAAGAAAGGUGGGUUUACCAACAAGAAGAACAAGGCGUUUAGCAGGAGGAGAGAAGCGAGGGGAGACAAGAUCCAUGCCAUGAACAAUGGGGGUCUUGAAGUAGAUGUCGAAGAUGCUUAACAUGUAAACGGCAUGGAGGAUGACACCAAGUAUAACCAGCCAUGUUUCUCUUCUUUUAACCCAUUGUCGUCUCCUGGGUAUGCUUGAUUUGCCUAGCUUCGAAUCUCGGUUACCCAAGAUCCCAUCUAUAUCCAUCUUUUUCGUUACUUUGGUUUCUCUGUUGUAACCCAAAAUUACUUGGUCUCACCUCUCUAUAAACUCUUGCAAGAAAACCAACAAGAAAACUAUUACAUCUUAAAAGUCAGUUAUUUGGUUUUUUUUUAUUGUUUAUUUUUCUUUUCUCAUUUGUACAAGAAAAAUACUAAAAUAGUUUUUUUAUUGGAUAAUUAGUUUUUAAAUACAUCAAAAUAUAUUUUAAAAAAUAUAACUUAUUAUUUUAAUUACAAAACUAAACCAAAUAUCAAUCGAGUCUAGUUUAAUUUAAUAUGUGUAUUAUUAAAAGAAUCAAAUAAAGUUGAUGGGAUUCUAAGUAAGACAUCCACGUGAGACUAUCCUAUCUUUUCUCAAGAUGUCAUAUGUUCUAUCAGGUGAGGUAUAAUAAAGAUAGAGUUAACUUUUACUAUUUAAAAAAUAUCAUUUAUUAUUUAAGAGAGUUAACAUUUUUAAAACUUAUAUGGUUUUGCAAAUGAAAUCUUUUAUUUGAAAUUAAAUUACAAUUGAAAAAAUAAUUUCAAGAUAUGUUGAUUUUGUUAUAAUUUAAGCUUAUUUGAUUUUUUUUAAAUAAUAUAAGAAUUAAAUUGAUCUAUUUAAUAAUAGUAGGACUAAUUGGAUAUAGUCCUAAUAAUUAGCGGAUCUCCCGCAAACUUUAAUCCAACUAAAUCUCGAUAUUAAUAAAAUUGUAUCAAUUUAAUUCUUGCUCAUUGGGAAAAAAUUUCAAAUAAGGUUAAAGUUAAAAAGAGUUAAUGUUUAUUAGUGAAGACAAAGUGAAUGGUUUGUAAUUUCCUAUAAUGUUUUAAGGAUGUGUUUGGGCAUUACAUAGUAAUUGAAUAAAUGUAUAAUUAUUUGGGUUAUAAUUAUACUCUCUUGUAAUUAUAACAAAUUUUUAGUCUUUAAACGUGUCUGACUAAUAAAAUGUAAUUACAUCAUAAUUUCUCAUGUUUAAUAAUAUAAAUUAUAAUUAUACGAUCCCAUGCAGGAGCCAAUUAACUCUCAAUCUUUGGUGCCAAGAGAUUUUUUUGAGUUUUUCAAUCUCCCCUUUUCUUUCCUCUCAAUAUUCUCGAUUUCCUUCCAAUUUCUUCAUGAUCCAUCCAUGUCCCAAGUCCUCUCCCAAAUUCUUCCUUCCUUCAUUUAUGAUAUUCUCACGUUCAUUGCUAGAUUGAAAUUGGAAGGUCUUUCUCCGUUAUAAUUCUUAUGAUCCGAGCCUAUAGCACCGUUUGCCAACCCUAUACUACAGUGGAAGAGGAUACUCCACUCAACAUUCCAAAGGAUGCCAUCUAAUUUCUCAUUUACAAAUUCGUCCCCUCAGAUACUAAUACCCUCAACCUCACAUUCCACCUAUUGACGCAAACUAAGUUGCCCCUCCUUGUUUUUGAAAUAGGGCAUGAAUCUUGUUAGAAUCUCCAAUGCAAUACCAAGCACUUACCAAGCAUUUCAUCAAAUCCCGAAGGUCAAAUUCUGCUAUUAGACCUUAAAAAUUUUAGUCCUAACCAGAUGAUAACUAUUAAGUUACAUUAUUUUUAAAAUUUGAAGUGUUAAAAUAUAUUUUCGCAUAUUGGUCAAACUAAAUUAAAUGUACUAAACCCACAAUUUACACAAAAUACAAGGUCUAAUAGCCCAAUCCCAAACCUCAACUCAUCCUUCAUUCUAAGGACACCCAAAUAAUUUUCAUUUUAAGUCAUCCAAGGCUCUAUUUGUUGAGGGUUCGAUGGAUUAUUUGAUGCUAAGAGCCUAAGAAAUAUCUUCCAAGGAUGAUGUGCCUAGAAUUAAAAGAGUCAUAUUUAUGCUACUCAGAUUUAUUAUUUAUUUCUCAAUGUUAAAAUAUAAACAUAUAUUAGGCUUACAUUCUGCUUAGGAACAUAAUUUUUCAUUAACGAGAACAAAAGGGAACUUACUAUAUACUACUUAUUUAUCUUCAAUUAUAUGUUAAUUAAAACUAUUUGACAAGUUCAUAGCUUCUAGGAUUACAAACGAAGACACUACAAGAAAUCCAUCCAUUUCCUCUCUUCUUACAGAACUUAUUACUGCAAGCUUUUUUGCUAUUACAAAUAUGAAAAACACAUACUCAAGAAGUGUCGUUUUUUGGGGGCUUUGGUUGGGCUUUUCAAGGACAUUUGUGCUUGUUGCGGUGGGUUCUCAUAUCAGUAUAACAUUUGCCACACAUUUCCCUGUUGCCAUAUGUCCCUGGUGGGACACAUUUGCAUCUGUCACAGCAUGUCAUGCAAGCUCUCAAGCAUAGGUUAGUCCUUGAGUGUAAUUUGCACCUUUGUCCACAUAAUGGGAUGCAAUCUGCCAACAAAGUUGUCCAACAUGUUGUCAGAAAGAUAACAGAUAAGUUCCUUGAGUUUUGGUAAAUGAAAAAAUGAUGUUUUCUUUACCCUUUUUUGUCCUAACAGGUGGCAAUGGUGGACUUGGUGGCUUGUAAGGCGGUGCUGGAGUUGUUGGUGGCUUAACUGGAGGUGUAGGAACUGGGGGCUUAUAUGGGGGAGUUGGUGCUUUAGUUGGCGGUGCUGGUGCUGGAGUUGGUGCUUUGGUUGGGGGUGUUGGGGGCAUAUAUGGGGGAGUAGGGGCCUUGACUGGAGGUGCCGGUGCGGGAGUAGGGGGUUUAUAUGGGGGAGUAGGAGCCUUGGUUGGUGGUGCUGGUGCUGGGGGCUUAAAUGGUGGAGUUGGAGCCUUGGUUGGUGGUGCAGGAGCUGGGGGCUUAUAUGGUGGAGUAGGAGCCUUGGUUGGUGGUGCAGGAGCUGGGGGCUUAUAUGGUGGAGUAGGAGCCUUGGUUGGUGGUGCAGGAGCUGGGGGUUUAUAUGGUGGAGUAGGAGCCUUGGUUGGUGGUUUAUAUGGUGGAGUGGGGGCCUUGGUAGGGGGUUUAUAUGGAGUGGGGCCCUUAGUUGGGG